UCCUUUAUUUGUCUGGAUCGGAUUGUUAUUUGAAUCAAUCUCCAGAUAUAAUGAGGGAAA
rfam:Pristionchus pacificus strain PS312 contig12425, whole genome shotgun sequence.